GGCAAAAGAGAGCUUGAUUGCAAGACAUACAGGUCGAGCAAGGAUGAAAAUCGGACUUAGUGAUCCGGUGGUUCUGCGUGGAAGGGCCAUCGCUCAACGGAUAAAAGCUACCCUGGGGAUAACAGGCUUAUCUCCCCCAAGAGUCCACAUCGACGGGGAGGUUUGGCACCUCGAUGUCGGCUCAUCACAUCCUGGGGCUGUAGUAGGUCCCAAGGGUUGGGCGGUUCGCCCAUUAAAGUGGUACGCGAGCUGGGUUCAGAACGUCGUGAGCAAGUUCGGUCCCUAUCCGGCGCAGGCGUAGGAAAUUUGAGAAGACCUGUCCUUAGGACGAGAGGACCGGGAGGGACGUACCUCUGGUGUACCAGUUGUCCUGCCAAGGGCAUGGCUGGGUAGCUAUGUACGGAAUGGAUAAGCGCUGAAAGCAUCUAAGCGCGAAGCCAACUUCAAGAUAAGAUUUCCCACCGCAAGGGUAAGACCCCAGAAAGACUAUCUGGUUGAUAGGUCGAAGGUGUAAGUGCAGCAAUGUAUUUAGCUUAUCGAUACUAAUAGGUCGAGGACUUGACCAAU
rnacentral:rRNA from 1 species